rnacentral:lncRNA from 1 species
GGUGCAAUGUGGCCAACAUAUCAUCAGUAACAUAUUUUAAGAAACAAACAAAAGAGUAAGGAAAAAUGGAAUAGUUAGGCAGGUGCAAUGUGGCCAACAUAUUUUAAGAAACAAACAAAAGAGUAAGGAAAAAUGGAAUAGUUAGGCAGGCUAGGCUGGAUAUAAAAAUAAAAUAAAAACAAAAGAGAAAAUACUAGAAGACUAAUAUAAUGUAAAAGAGAAUGCUACAUCAUACUUUUGCUUGUAGUAAUCAGCAUAUGAACUGUAUUCCAGAGGACCAAGAUAACCUUCUUUC